rnacentral:misc_RNA from 1 species
GAUGAAUAACGCAGCGAAAUGCGAUACUUGGUGUGAAUUGCAGAAUCCCGUGAACCAUCGAGUCUUUGAACGCAAGUUGCGCCCGAAGCCACUAGGCCGAGGGCACGCCUGCCUGGGCGUCACACGCCGUUGCCCCCCCAUCUACUCCUUCGGGAUUGCGGGGGGGCGGAUGAUGGCCUCCCGUGCGCCUAGCCGCGCGGUUGGCAUAAAUACCAAGUCCUCGGCGACGCACGCCACGACAAUCGGUGGUUGCGAAACCUCGGUUGCCCGUCGUGUGCGUUCGUCGCGCAUCGAGGGCUCGAAAAAAUGCUCGGCUCCGGCUGGGCUUUCAACGCGACCCCAGGUCAGGCGGGGUUACCCGCUGAAUUUAAGCAUAUCAAUAAGCGGAGGA